AGGUGUCAUAUGCAAGUACAAAUUCCUGAAGCAGCUGGGCAUGGUGGCACAGGGACCAAAGGAUAAUUCCAGUAAUGGGCCAGCAGGUGUCAUGACUAGCUGAACCAUGUUCUUGCUGAAUAUCACAUGUUUCAGGAAACAGCAGAAACUGUAUGCUGGUGAGAGAUACUUUAAGAUUUUGAGAUAUCGUCCUAUCAAACAUUUACCAUCUCUAUCAGAAGAACAAACGGAAACCAGCACAAAUAGUCAUGAGAAACAACUUAGUUUUAAAUACAAGGGAGAAAUUCUCUCUGUCGAAAACAGGUGAAUGAGAUAAUCUGAGAAAAGCUUUGAACUAGGACCAGCACACUUAUAUGGUGUGCACUUGGGACCAGUCCUGGCUCAUUGUUGCCACUAUGCUCUUAAAUGCUAUGUAAAAGGACUUAAAUCUAGAUUGUAUCAUUAUAUAAGUCUACUUUGAGCAUUGAAAUGGUAUGAGUUUUAUAGAAUUUGCUUUUCUAAAAGUUUUUAAAUGGAAGCUAUGAAUGAUGCUUUGAAUGUAAUCUCAAUCAGAUGCUGGAGUGGAGAAGAGUUGGUGGAGUGAGUUAGAAGCUGCAGUGCAUCCUUUGGAGAUGGUCUUAAACACCACUUCUUUCCCUUAUCUACCUUCAGCAGUUCCAAUAACUUUCAAGUUCUUGGUGUAUCACUUCAUGGGAUGUUUAACAAUGGAAACGGGUUUGUUAAUUGAACAUCUGUAGAUCAAAUUGUGCUUAAAUUUUAUAAAAUAAAUAAUCACAUGUUUAGAUGU